rnacentral:rRNA from 1 species
CCUACGGGGGGCUGCAGUAGGGAAUAUUGGACAAUGGGCGAAAGCCUGAUCCAGCCAUGCCGCGUGAUAGAUGAAGGCCCUCUGGGUUGUAAAUAUCUUUUAUCUGGGAAGAAACAAUCUUAUUCUUAAGAUCUUGACGGUACCAGAGGAAUAAGCACCGGCUAACUCCGUGCCAGCAGCCGCGGUCAUACGGAGGGUGCAAGCUUUAUCCGGAUUCACUGGGGCGUAGGGGUGCGGAGACGGGCGUGUUGACAGCUCCGAGCUUAACUUGGAAACUGCCAUUGAUACUGCCAGUCGUGAAUGUCGUAGAGGUAAGCGGAAUGUUGCAUGUAGCGGUGAAAUGCUUAGAUAUGUUACAGAACACCAAUUGCGAAGGCAGCUUACUAUGCGAUGAUUGACGCUGAGGCACGAAAGCGUGGGGAGCAAACAGGAUUAGAUACCCGAGUAGUC